AACUGGUGAGUAACACGUGGGAAACCUGCCCAGAAGCGGGGGAUAACACCUGGAAACAGAUGCUAAUACCGCAUAACAACUUGGACCGCAUGGUCCGAGUUUGAAAGAUGGCUUCGGCUAUCACUUUUGGAUGGKCCCSCGGCGUAUUAGCUARAUGGKGGGGUAACGGCUCMCCAUGGCAAUGAUACKUARCCRACCUGARAGGGUAAUCSGCCACAUUGGGACUGARACACGGCCCAAACUCCUACGGGAGGSAGCAGUAGGGAAUCUUCCACAAUGGACGAAAGUYUGAUGGAGCAACSCCSCGUGAGUGAARAAGGGUUUCGGCUCG
rnacentral:rRNA from 1 species